rnacentral:rRNA from 1 species
AACGAACGCUGGCGGCAGGCUUAACACAUGCAAGUCGAGCGAGACCUUCGGGUCUAGCGGCGGACGGGUGAGUAACGCGUGGGAACGUGCCCUUCUCUACGGAAUAGCCCCGGGAAACUGGGAGUAAUACCGUAUACGCCCUUUGGGGGAAAGAUUUAUCGGAGAAGGAUCGGCCCGCGUUGGAUUAGGUAGUUGGUGGGGUAAUGGCCCACCAAGCCGACGAUCCAUAGCUGGUUUGAGAGGAUGAUCAGCCACACCGGGACUGAGACACGGCCCAGACUCCUACGGGAGGCAGCAGUGGGGAAUCUUAGACAAUGGGGGCAACCCUGAUCUAGCCAUGCCGCGUGAGUGAUGAAGGCCUUAGGGUUGUAAAGCUCUUUCAGCUGGGAAGAUAAUGACGGUACCAGCAGAAGAAGCCCCGGCUAACUCCGU